CAGGAGUUAGUUUAUAAAAAUAUUGGUUUUGGGGAUCAAUGAUAGGAAUGUUUCUACUCCUGA
rnacentral:tRNA from 1 species